UGAAAUAUCGGUUCCCGUACGAUCACCGAAGUUAAGCAACGUCUAUCCUGGUCAUUACUUUGAUGGGUGACCACUUGGGAAUAUUAGGUUCUG